rnacentral:rRNA from 1 species
GACGAACGCUGGCGGCGUGCUUAACACAUGCAAGUCGAACGAUGAAGCUGGAGCUUGCUCCGGUGGAUUAGUGGCGAACGGGUGAGUAACACGUGAGAAAUCUGCCCUUCACUCUGGAAUAACUGCGGGAAACUGUAGCUAAUACCGGAUACUUUCCCUGGUGGGCAUCCACUCGGGAAGAAAGAAUUUCGGUGAAGGAUGAUCUCGCGGCCUAUCAGCUAGUUGGUGAGGUAAUGGCUCACCAAGGCGACGAAGGGUAGCCGGCCUGAGAGGGUGACCGGCCACACUGGGACUGAGACACGGCCCAGACUCCUACGGGAGGCAGCAGUGGGGAAUAUUGCACAAUGGGCGAAAGCCUGAUGCAGCAACGCCGCGUGAGGGAUGAAGGCCUUCGGGUUGUAAACCUCUUUUAGCAGGGAAGAAGCGAAAGUGACGGUACCUGCAGAAAAAGCACCGGCUAACUACGUGCCAGCAGCCGCCGCCG